GCGGGUGUGGCGGAAUUGGCAGACGUGUUAGAUUUAGGUUCUAAUGGCAACAGCCGUGCAGGUUCAAGUCCUGUCACCCGCACCA
rnacentral:tRNA from 1 species